rnacentral:rRNA from 1 species
CCCUUAGAUGUCCUGGGCCGCACGCGUGCUACACUGACGCAUACAGCGAGCACUUUCCAGUUCCGAGGGGCUACUGGUAAUCAUCAAUAUGCGUCGUGAUGGGGAUAGAUCUUUGGAAUUCUGGAUCUUGAACGAGGAAUGCCUAGUAAUCGCAGGUCAUUAGCCUGCGAUGAUUAAGUCCCUGCCCUUUGUACACACCGCCCGUCGCUACUACCGAUUUCGAGUGGUCAGGUGAAUCUUUCGGACUGUGGGCGCCCUUGAGGUGUUCGCGGAAAGUCAGGUAAAUCUUAUCACUUAGAGGAAGUAAAAGUCGUAACA